GCGUCGGUGGUGCAAGGGAGAGAGCACGUGCCUCUAGAUUGGGUGAAAUGCAGGUUCGAGUCCCACCUGACGCA